UUUAUGUGAUAGCAUCUGCAAGAUCUGAGUCUUUCCUUUAUCAUAUUGGAAGACCAAAUAUUGUACCUUCCGGCUGUUGCUUUUUCAUUCUUAUUUCACUUCCAUGUUACUUUCACUUGGUAAACACUUCUAGGGCUAGUUUGGGAACUUCAUUUUCCAUCCCUUGGGAAAAUGGGGGUUCCCAAACUAGCUCCUAGAGUUCUAGAGUUGACACUUGCAUGGAACCAUCACACCAGUUUAUGAGUCUUUCCUUUAUCAUAUUGGAAGACCAAAUAUUGUACCUUCCGGCUGUUGCUUUUUCAUUCUUAUUUCACUUCCAUGUUACUUUCACUUGGUAAACACUUCUAGGGCUAGUUUGGGAACUUCAUUUUCCAUCCCUUGGGAAAAUGGGGGUUCCCAAACUAGCUCCUAGAGUUCUAGAGUUGACACUUGCAUGGAACCAUCACACC
rnacentral:lncRNA from 1 species